rnacentral:tRNA from 1 species
UCCGCGGUAGCUCAGUUGGUAGAGCGUCCGACUGUUAAUCGGAUUGUCCCAGGUUCGAGUCCUGGCCGCGGAG